rnacentral:misc_RNA from 1 species
AGAGUUAAACAGUACGUGAAAUUGUUGAAAGGGAAACGAUUGAAGUCAGUCAUGCUAGUAGGGAAUCAACUUGGUGGAGCGAGUUUCUUGUUCUUCAACGAGGAAUCAAUCUUUUGAGCGUGAAUUUCGAUUUGCGUUUUUUUGGUGCAUUUUCUCGUUUGGUAGGUCAGCAUCGGUUUCGAUCGUUACAAAAUGAUCGGAGGAAUGUGGCUUCGAUUUCGGUUGAAGUGUUAUAGUCUCUGGUAGAUGUAACGGUAGAGACCGAGGAUUGCAACGGAUACCCUAACGGGCUAUCCGUCUGAUCUCUGAUACGUUGCUUUGGUAUCGAAAGCUUGCUUACGAUGUUGAAGUGUGCGGUCAAAAGGUUAGAACGGAUUAAAUUCGUUAAGGAUGCUGACGUAAUGGCUUUAAACGA